GACGCUGGCGGCAUGCCUUACACAUGCAAGUCGAACGGUAACGCGGGGCAACCUGGCGACGAGUGGCGAACGGGUGAGUAAUGCAUCGGAACGUGCCCAGUAGUGGGGGAUGGCCCGGCGAAAGCCGGAUUAAUACCGCAUACGACCUACGGGUGAAAGGGGGGGAUCGCAAGACCCCUCGCUAUUGGAGCGGCCGAUGUCAGAUUAGGUAGUUGGUGGGGUAAAGGCUCACCAAGCCGACGAUCUGUAGCUGGUCUGAGAGGACGACCAGCCACACUGGGACUGAGACACGGCCCAGACUCCUACGGGAGGCAGCAGUGGGGAAUUUUGGACAAUGGGCGCAAGCCUGAUCCAGCCAUGCCGCGUGCGGGAAGAAGGCCUUCGGGUUGUAAACCGCUUUUGUCAGGGAAGAAACGCUCUGGGAUAAUACCCUGGGGUAAUGACGGUACCUGAAGAAUAAGCACCGGCUAACUACGUGCCAGCAGCCGCGGUAAUACGUAGGGUGCAAGCGUUAAUCGGAAUUACUGGGCGUAAAGCGUGCGCAGGCGGUUAUGCAAGACAGAUGUGAAAUCCCCGGGCUUAACCUGGGAACUGCAUUUGUGACUGCAUAGCUAGAGUACGGUAGAGGGGGAUGGAAUUCCGCGUGUAGCAGUGAAAUGCGUAGAUAUGCGGAGGAACACCGAUGGCGAAGGCAAUCCCCUGGACCUGUACUGACGCUCAUGCACGAAAGCGUGGGGGAGCAAACAGGAUUAGAUACCCUGGUAGUCCACGCCCUAAACGAUGUCAACUGGUUGUUGGGAGGGCUUCUUCUCAGUAACGUAACUAACGCGUGAAGUUGACCGCCUGGGGAGUACG
rnacentral:rRNA from 1 species